rnacentral:lncRNA from 1 species
GGAGCUGAAGGAGAAGCAUCAAACAGCUGGCUGGGUCCCAUUCAGAAGUCGUGCUUUGCAGACUUUGUGAAAUUUGCCUGGCAGUUACCAGCGAGGUGAGCAACCUCUGCUCCAAGGUGUCCUACACUGCAAUCGUCACUCUUGGAGAGCUCUUUGCAACCUUGAAGAAGGACAUGGACUCCGAGGUGGAUGAGGUUGCUCAGGUCCUGCUCCCAGUGGUUUGGAAUUCUCCAGAGUUUGUUGAGAAAGCAGCCAAUCCCAGAGUUUGUUGAGAAAGCAGCCAAUCAGACCCUGGGGAUCAUGGUUGAGAACGAGCCGCUAUGUCCAGGUGCGGAAGUGUGCGGCCAAACUCCUCCUGUCCUUGAUGGGGAAAAUUGGAGUCACGAAGCUCGCAGACACACCCAGGGCUGAGACCCUGGCGCAGGUGGCAGGGAAGCUUGCUCAGGACUGUCACAAGGACACAAGGCAUUGUGGACAGGAGAUGGUGAAGAUGAUGCUAAGUCAUCCAAAAUUUAAAAGGCUUUUGGAGAAAUCUGUUUCUACCCGUGACCUGGAAGAUAUUCUGACAAGAAUUAAGAAGAAAGAGAUGGAAAGCCAGAAGGGUGAAGGCCCAUCAGUCAAGAUGCCGGUGAAGAAGAGCAGCGAUUCCUCGAAGAAGCCCCAGGCCACAUUGCCUUCUAGUAAACGUCUACCUCUGAGGGACGCCUCCUCCACCGUGCAAAAGCCCAGGUCACGUUACCUCCAUCUGUGGAAGAAACGGAGCCGCUCCAGAAGCUUUACGAUCUCCUGGAAGCCAAGGGGUUUCAGACACGGCUGGAAGGACUGGCAUUCCUUCUCGAGCUGUGCCAAACUCGCCCCCAGCUCAUCUCCACUAACAUUGUCCAAGUAUGUAGGGUAUCUUCAUUGUUCCUUUCCUUUAGCUCCUUCCCCAAGCCUGGAGCAGUGAAGUUCAUUCUGUGUGUCUUGGCACUACAUCCUGGCAGUUUGGGCCAGGCUGGUCCCUCUUACACAGACAAAUUUCAUUCAGAUCCAGGCUUCAGAACAAGUUCUUUCAGUCCAGCUGUAUUUGUUGGGCAGGUGCCUAUUGAUGCUGUUCAUCAGAUGAUGACAGAGUUUGCUGCUGCUGUAGCUGAUGCUCUCUCCUGCUCCCAGCUGGGUUAAGUGAAGGGAAUAGCAGCACUGAAAGCAUGGCAAUUAUUCUCUAAAUAAAACAUGGGUUUGGAUAGAGAAGA